rnacentral:rRNA from 1 species
UGGGGAAUAUUGGACAAUGGGCGAAAGCCUGAUCCAGCCAUGCCGCGUGUGUGAAGAAGGUCUUCGGAUUGUAAAGCACUUUAAGUUGGGAGGAAGGGCAUUAACCUAAUACGUUAGUGUUUUGACGUUACCGACAGAAUAAGCACCGGCUAACUCUGUGCCAGCAGCCGCGGUAAUACAGAGGGUGCAAGCGAUAAUCGGAAUUACUGGGCGUAAAGCGCGCGUAGGUGGUUUGUUAAGUUGGAUGUGAAAUCCCCGGGCUCAACCUGGGAACUGCAUUCAAAACUGACUGACUAGAGUAUGGUAGAGGGUGGUGGAAUUUCCUGUGUAGCGGUGAAAUGCGUAGAUAUAGGAAGGAACACCAGUGGCGAAGGCGACCACCUGGACUAAUACUGACACUGAGGUGCGAAAGCGUGGGGAGCAAACA